CAGAAGAGGUAUCUAUGCUGUGGUGUUCUGGACUCUUUCAGAUGUAUCAGGAAUUUCCACAGGUCUUGCACAUUUUCAAUGACAUUUAUGUGUAUUGUUUCUCCAAGGUCAAGUAAUGCUGUAUCAAAGCAUUGGCUGUCUACUUCGCCUUGGGGCAGUAAAUCUAUUGCAUUAAGAGGGGAUCCAUGAAUAACAGGAAACAGCAACAAGAUGAGGAUAAUCAUCAGGAGGAGGGCAUGCCUUUACUACCUGGAGUGGAAUAGACAGAGUCAGCUCACCUGUCAAGGAUGGAUUAUGUGAGCCUAGGAUUCUUCACGGAUGUUGUUGGCCUAGAGAUGAUGCAGAUGAAGUUCAUCCUGUAAUUUAGGUCAAAACCCAGGAUCUCUCUCUUGUUAAUACUGGAGGAAUACCUACACCACUCUGGCUGCUGUGAAUCAAUGAGGCUGACAAUAACUUUCUCAAGGGCAAUUAACAAUGGACAAUAAACAUCAGCCUUGCUGGUGACUUUCACUUUAGGAAUACAGUGUAAUUUUUAAAAGGCUAGCAUAUUGUAACUGAAAGAACAUUUGAACAAAACAUUCUGAUUUACACACACAAUUCACAUCACACAGAUUUUUCUAAUACAUGUACUAAAUCUUUGAAUCCACCAUAACAGAUUAUUAUGAUUUUGUUACAGUAGCUCUUUGAAAUAAUUUUCCUUUAUGUUCCACACCCCAGACUUUUACCUAUCACCCUGCCAAUUUGUCCACUUCAAAUCAAGUCCAAUUGCCUUUUGAAAUUUCUUACGGAAUUUGCUUUCAACAGCCCAUCAGGUUGUACAUUCCAAUCAUUAAAAAAAAUCUACUCCCCUUUACAUCUUUUGCCAGUUGUUUUAAAACUGUAAUCACUGGUUACUGUCUUACUAGCUGAUUUUUUUUCUCUACUUGCUCUAAUAAUCUUAUUAGCUUCUACUUAACCACCUCUAAUUUAAAUGCAUGUUCUUAGCUUCUCCAAUCCCUGUAUGUAACCUAGUCCCUGAUCCUGGUUAAAAUUUUGGGAUCAUACCUUAGCCCUGAUACCCUUCUUAAAAUCCAGACUCAUAGUCAAUAUUUCAACUAAAAUUCAAACAUCCAACCAGUAAUUUGUAUAAGGUUACUAUCCUUAAUUAUGCAGAUAAUGUUUUACCAAAUUGUCUUGAAUUUUUUGGAUUUCAUUUGUUCUUUUUAGCAACGAUGCUGUAUCCUUCACUUAUUUUAUGUUCCAAUUACUGGGCUAAGGAAUGGGUUAUGUUAUAGUAGUUUUUUAUACAACACAAAGUAAUUCAUGCUAAAUAUAUCAGUGAACAAAGUGCUUAUGUUGAAAAGGUGUUUGUAAAGUACUACUGGCCAAUACAGAGAUGAUAAGUUGUCAACAUUUUAGUGAUUAGAUAUAAAUUUAUUGUGAGCUAUACUCGAUCAAUGGUUUAAUCUUUUACAGUGUUUCAAUUGUCAAGACUGAUGCUUUUCCCAAUAAUGAUGUUAAUAAUUUCUGUAGAUAUUAAGCACAUCAACAUUUGGCCAGUAAUAAAGAAGGUGGCUUGCACUGCAUCAGAAUUUCUCAGACAUGCUCCCAGCAUUCCACAUUUCAAUAAAUGUGAAAGCAGCAAUUCCAUUCCAUGCAAGUUGAGUUGCACUAUUUUUUCCCCAAAGGAAGCUAAAAAUUCUGCUGAAGACACAAAGAAUUAUAAAUGGAUGUUUUCAUUUUUUUCUGUCCAGAUCAGUCCUUUUCAAAGCAGGCUCAAAAAGCCAAAUUGAAGCAGUAGCAAUAAUAUAUAUCCAGAGAGCCUUAGAUACCACACUAUCAGGGAUCUGAGAAUCAUGGCAGGGUAUAACAGGUUGUUUUCACAUGAUGAUCUGUACAUCAAAGGGAAGCUAUUUUACAGCAGUUGAUCAUUUAAGACAAUCUAAUUCAUUUCACAUGC